rnacentral:rRNA from 1 species
AGUGAACGCUGGCGGUAGGCCUAACACAUGCAAGUCGAACGGGACGCGGAAGGGUGAGGUAUACAUCGGAAUCGACGCUGUCGUUGGGGAUAACGUACGGAAACUUAUGCUAAUACCGCAUACGUUUGAAUGAGCCGAUGUCGGAUUAGCGAGUUGGAGGGGUAAAGGCCCACCAAGGCGACGAUCCGUAGCUGGUCUGAGAGGAUGAUCAGCCACACUGGAACUGAGACACGGUCCAGACUCCUACGGGAGGCAGCAGUGGGGAAUAUUGGACAAUGGGCGAAAGCCUGAUGCAGCCAUGCCGCGUGUGUGAAGAAGGCCUUCGGGUUGUAAAGUACUUUAAGCGGGGAGGCGUUACCCACAGAAGAAGCACCGGCUAACUCCGUGCCAGCAGCCGCGGUAAUAC